AAUUUUACAUACAAAUGUAUAUGGGAAAAAACUUUAAAAAUCUUCUUCUCAAGAACCACUGCGCCAUAAAAGCUGAAACUUAUGUGGAACAUCCAUGGGUAGUGAAGAUUCUAAAUUGUUCAAAUCAUGACCCCCGAGGGUAGGGCGGGGUCACAAUAGGGAAUCCAAGUUUUACAUAGAAAUAUAUAGGGAAAAACUUUAAAAAUCUUCUUCUCAAGAAGCACUGGGCCAGAAAAGCUGAAACUUUCGUGGAAGCAUCCUGGGGUAGUGUAGAUUAUAAAUUGUCCAAAUCAUGACCCCUUUGGGUAGGGCGGGGCCACAAUAUGGAAUCUAAGUUUUACAUAGAAAUAUAUAGGGAAAAAACUUUUAAAAUCUUCUUCUCAAGAAGCACCAGGCCAGAAAAGUUGAGACUUAUGUGGAAGGAUCUUGGGGUAGUGUAGAUUAUAAAUUGUCCAAAUCAUGACCCCUGGUGGUAGGGUGUGGUCACAUUUUGUAUUACAAAGGGGGGAUAUCUGUUAAAGAACAGCAUGGCCAAAGUUUCUCAGCUGAGCGAUGUGGCCCAUGGGCCUCUUGUUUAACCUUGGCAUUUCCUUUGAUCUUGACCUCACUUUAAUGAAAUUAGUGUCAAACUUCAUAUGCUGAUACAUACUAAUGUAAGCACUUCAACUGCAUCACUAUUCAAGAUAUUUUGAUCAAAUUUCAUACAUUUAUACAAAUUUUCAUGUUGCUUUACUAAUAUACCCUCGGCGGGGCAUUCAUGUCCUCUGGACAUAUUUCUAGUUACCUUUAUAACUAAUAGGUUUGUGACAAUCCGAAAGUAAAUUAAGAAAUGUGUUACAGUUUUGAGAGUAUCAGACAACUUUUAUCAAUGCAUCAUGAAACAUUUCCAUGAACAAUCUAAAUUAAACCAUACUUCAUGUAAAACAUUAGUCUUUUAAGACAUUGAAGCUAUACAGAAAUAUUUACUCAUUGUACUGAGUUUGUUUUGACAGGUCUCCCAGGAUGUGCUGUUUGACUAUGUAAAACUAAAGAGGCUGAAGAAAUCAACGUUUUAACAGGUCUCCCAGGAUGUGCUGUUGAAGUAUGUAAAGCUAAAGAAGAGGAACAAAUUACCAUUUUGACAGGUCUCCCAGGAUGUGCUGUUUUACUAUGUAAAGCUAAAGAAGAGGAAGAAAUCACCAUUUUGACAGGUUUAACUAAUGCCUAAAUUUAGUUUUUUAGCUCACCUGAGCGGAAGGCUCAAGUGAGCUUUUCUGAUCACAUUUGUCCGGUGUCGGUCUGU